UGAGCCGAGAUUGAGCCACUGCACUCCAGCUUGGGUGAUAGAGUGAGACUCUGUGUCAAAAAAACAAAACAAACAAACAAAAAAAUUGGGGCCCUAAUCCAAUGUGACUGAUGUCCUUUUAAAAUGAGGGAGAGGCACCAGAGCUCACUCUCUCUGCUGCAGCACAGAGGAAAGGCCAUACAAACACACAGGGAGAAAGCCACCAUCUGCGAGCAGAGGAGUGGGGCCUCACCAGAAACCAACCCUGCUGGCACCUUGAUCCUGGAAUUCCAGCCUCAGAACUCGGAUAAAAUAAAUUUAUGUGAUUUAUUACACCAAGUUUGUGUGAUUUUGUUAUGGCAGUCUGAGCAGACUAAUACAACUUGUGAAUCAAUUUUCCAUUAACCUUACCUGAUAAAUGGUAUGUUGUGCUUUUCUAUGAGACAGCAGAAGACCUAAGAAUUGAGCGCACACCGUUAUGACGUAAAGAAAUUAGCAUUGAAACUGCAAUUUAUGUGGCAGGUUUUUUUUUUUUUUUUUUUAGAUGGAGUUUCGCUCUGUCACCCAGGCUAGAGUCCAGAGUUGCAAUCAAAAAAAAAAACUGGAAAAUUUGUUCUAAACAGCUUCAUGGGAAGAGAUAAUGAGCUAUGCAGCUCAACAUAAUUCAACAAAUAUUUGUUGAGUAUCUAUACUAGAACCUGUUCCAGAUGUUUGAAAUACUUCAGUGAACAUACCAUUUUUUAUAGAAAAAAGACCACUUUCUUUACCUUUGUGGAGCUUGCAUUCUAUCAGUGGGAGACAUACACUCCACCAUUGUUACACUAAGUAAGUAUAAUAUUUAGCCAAUUCUUAUAAAUUGUAUGUUACCUCAGCAUCCAUUUUGAAAAUAGGUUUAACUUGCACAUACCAGAAGCUUGGCUUAGUGACCCUCAAAGGAGUUUUCACUUCCUCCAAAGUCCUAUAUGUGGUCGCCUCCGAUAUCUGCCGUAUACAACUGUCUCCUGGUGACCACCUCCCUGUGAGACAGCAGAUACAACCUACCCCUCUGGCCUUCUCACCUCUCGUGGACUGUGUAGAUGCUGCAGUGGCCCCUGCUCAGUUACAGUGUGACUAUUGGACUUGUUCCUGCUUGCUAUAAGCCCACUGUAUUAGUCCAUUCUCACGCUGCUAAUAAAAACGUACCUGAAACUGCCU
rnacentral:lncRNA from 1 species